rnacentral:lncRNA from 1 species
AACUGAUGAUGAUAAUGACAGAGAAGAAGGAAAGAAGAAACAAGAGGAGGAGGAGGGGGAGGGAAUUUCUGGUCCUACAACUAAGAAACCAAGUCAUCGCUGGCCAUGGGAAUUCAUGUUGUAAUAUGUAUGACAUAUGUGUACAUGUAAUUAGUAGGUUGUGUAUUUUGUGUUAAUUAGUUUUUACGUAAACAUAUGCUUUUAAUUAAUGUAUGAUCUCAUGUUCCUAUGGCCUUAUGCCCUCUUUUGUGUAACGUACAAUGAGCUGGACAGCUCUGUCCAGCUCAUGAGGACUCACUUGUCUACUCCAUAUGGACCCUGUGUACAAUAGUGUCCUUAUUUCUUUGUUAUGUUUUUGUAUUUAAGUUCUGUAAUCUUAGAGCAGUUUUAUUCUCUUUUUGUUGUAAAAGUAUCUUAACUUGAUCUCUGCUAAUCUUACUACAUGCAGCAACUCUAGCUAAUCGCUAUUGUAGUGCUGAUUCUCAAUAAUUCACACACUCAAAACUCAAGCAAGCAUUGACUGAAGUUAGUGUACUGUCUGAUGUUUUACAAAUUGUUCAUAAUCAUCAUCAAUACUUGUCACUGGAUCCAGUUUAUGUUAAUAAGAAAUACACAUUACCUCCUUCAUAUCAAUACCAAAUUAAAAAGAAGGCACUUGAUGUAGCUUCCAAGAUAUUAA